UUGCUAGUUACGUGUAGUUACUGUUUGCUACAUAAUAAUUGCGUGUACCGAGAUUAAGUAUGAAACGCGCUAAGUUAAUUUUGGAUUUGAUAAAAAAGAAAGAUGAUUUGGAUAACGAGAUUCAAGUUUAGAAGUACUUGUAUGGGGUAAGCCAAAAGGAACAGGAUUAUGUGGAACGAAUCAAAAUUUUUUAGCUACCCUGGAAGACAAAGAAGCAACAUAGACAUUGGAGAUUGAGGACUUAUUUCAGGAGAAAUAUUUGUAUGAGUCAGCUCCAGCAUCUGCUGUGUUCAGUCCUUUUAAUUUGA